rnacentral:rRNA from 1 species
CCUACGGGAGGCAGCAGUGGGGAAUUUUGGACAAUGGACGCAAGUCUGAUCCAGCCAUUCCGCGUGCAGGACGAAGGCCUUCGGGUUGUAAACUGCUUUUGUACGGAACGAAAAAAGCUCUUAUUAAUACUAGGAGUCCAUGACGGUACCGUAAGAAUAAGCACCGGCUAACUACGUGCCAGCAGCCGCGGUAAUACGUAGGGUGCAAGCGUUAAUCGGAAUUACUGGGCGUAAAGCGUGCGCAGGCGGUUAUUUAAGACAGAUGUGAAAUCCCCGAGCUUAACUUGGGAACUGCAUUUGUGACUGUAUAGCUAGAGUACGGCAGAGGGGGAUGGAAUUCCGCGUGUAGCAGUGAAAUGCGUAGAUAUGCGGAGGAACACCGAUGGCGAAGGCAAUCCCCUGGGCCUGUACUGACGCUCAUGCACGAAAGCGUGGGGAGCAAACAGGAUUAGAUACCCUGGUAGUCCACGCCCUAAACGAUGUCAACUGGUUGUUGGGUCUUCACUGACUCAGUAACGAAGCUAACGCGUGAAGUUGACCGCCUGGGGAGUACGGCCGCGAAGGUUGAAACGUCAAAGGAAUUGACGG